GACGAACGCUGGCGGCGUGCUUAACACAUGCAAGUCGAACGGAAAGGCCCUGCUUUUGUGGGGUGCUCGAGUGGCGAACGGGUGAGUAACACGUGAGUAACCUGCCCUUGACUUUGGGAUAACUUCAGGAAACUGGGGCUAAUACCGGAUAGGAGCUCCUGCUGCAUGGUGGGGGUUGGAAAGUUUCGGCGGUUGGGGAUGGACUCGCGGCUUAUCAGCUUGUUGGUGGGGUAGUGGCUUACCAAGGCUUUGACGGGUAGCCGGCCUGAGAGGGUGACCGGCAACAUGGGGACUGAGAUACGGCCCAGACUCCUACGGGAGGCAGCAGUGGGGAAUAUUGCACAAUGGGCGGAAGCCUGAUGCAGCAACGCCGCGUGCGGGAUGACGGCCUUCGGGUUGUAAACCGCUUUCGCCUGUGACGAAGCGUGAGUGACGGUAAUGGGGAAAGAAGCACCGGCUAACUACGU
rnacentral:rRNA from 1 species